rnacentral:rRNA from 1 species
AACGUAGGAGACAAACGUUAUCCGGAGUUACUGGGCGUAAAGGGCGUGUAGGUGGUAGAGUAAGUCUGGCGUGAAAUUUUUCGGCUUAACCGGGAAAGGUCGUCGGAUACUGCUUAACUAGAGGACGGUAGAGGCGUGUGGAAUUCCGGGUGUAGUGGUGAAAUGCGUAGAGAUCCGGAGGAACACCAGUGGCGAAGGCGGCGAUCUGGGAAGAUACUGACGCUGAGGUGCGAAAGCGUGGGGAGCAAACAGG